GGGUUGUGAGGUUAAGCGACUAAGCGUACACGGUGGAUGCCCUGGCAGUCAGAGGCGAUGAAGGGCGUGCUAAUCUGCGAUAAGCGCCGGUAAGGUGAUAUGAACCGUUAUAACCGGCGAUACCCGAAUGGGGAAACCCAGUGUGACUCGUCACACUAUCAUUAACUGAAUCCAUAGGUUAAUGAGGCGAACCGGGGGAACUGAAACAUCUAAGUACCCCGAGGAAAAGAAAUCAACCGAGAUUCCCCCAGUAGCGGCGAGCGAACGGGGAGGAGCCCAGAGCCUGAAUCAGCAUGUGUGUUAGUGGAAGCGUCUGGAAAGGCGCGCGAUACAGGGUGACAGCCCCGUACACAAAAGCGCAUGUGCUGUGAGCUCGAUGAGUAGGGCGGGACACGUGGUAUCCUGUCUGAAUAUGGGGGGACCAUCCUCCAAGGCUAAAUACUCCUGACUGACCGAUAGUGAACCAGUACCGUGAGGGAAAGGCGAAAAGAACCCCGGCGAGGGGAGUGAAAAAGAACCUGAAACCGUGUACGUACAAGCAGUGGGAGCACCCUUUGGGGUGUGACUGCGUACCUUUUGUAUAAUGGGUCAGCGACUUAUAUUCUGUAGCAAGGUUAACCGAAUAGGGGAGCCGGAGGGAAACCGAGUCUUAAUUGGGCGUUAAGUUGCAGGGUAUAGACCCGAAACCCGGUGAUCUAGCCAUGGGCAGGUUGAAGGUUGGGUAACACUAACUGGAGGACCGAACCGACUAAUGUUGAAAAAUUA
rnacentral:rRNA from 1 species